GAUAAACGCUAGCGGCAGGCUUAACACAUGCAAGUCGAGGGGCAGCAUAGAUUGUAGCAAUACAAUUGGUGGCGACCGGCGCACGGGUGCGUAACGCGUAUGCAACCUACCCGUCACAGGGGGAUAAUCCGGAGAAAUCUGGUCUAAUACCCCAUAACAUAUGGAUCGGCAUCGGUUCAUGUUGAAAUUUUCGGAGGUGACGGAUGGGCAUGCGUAGCAUUAGCUUGUUGGUGAGGUAACGGCUCGCCAAGGCGACGAUGCUUAGGGGGACUGAGAGGUUUUCCCCCCACACUGGUACUGAGACACGGACCAGACUCCUACGGGAGGCAGCAGUGAGGAAUAUUGGUCAAUGGGCGCAAGCCUGAACCAGCCAUGCCGCGUGCAGGAUGACGGCUCUAUGAGUUGUAAACUGCUUUUGUACGAGGGUAAAGUGGGUUACGUGUAACCUCUUGGAAGUAUCGUACGAAUAAGGAUCGGCUAACUCCGUGCCAGCCGCCGCCGUAA
rnacentral:rRNA from 1 species